GGCGCUGAGGGGCGGCGGGGGGCCUCGCCCGGCGGGUGCGGGGGCCCGCACAGUGCCCUGCCCGCCAGGGGCGGGGAAGCCAGAGCUCCCGCGGAGCGUGCUUGCUCCCGCCUAGCUGCGGGCGGCUGAGGAGAAAGCGCGGGAGGAACUUCUUACUUGGCUUGUAGUUCAGCCGUGUAAAACUUGAGCACGGUAGUGCAAAUGAGGUGUCACGGACAUGUAACAGACUACGCAAACAGGUUAUGUUUGAUCACAAAUUGCUUGUUAAGCCAUUUUGCCAAAUCUGUCUGAUUUCAAGUUACUUUCUGAGACAGCCGCUCCCAUUGGAGUACUGAACCGAGGUCUUGCUGUACGACACGCGCUGUCCUUGAUGUGUCUCCUUAUCGUCACUUUCGAGCAUGAUUCUAUUUGAAUCCAUUAUCUUUAACCACAGAUGAACAUCGAACCAGCACAUGGAGUUCCAGGCACUGAUCCUCAGAGAACCCACAUGUGACAGAAAGGAUGGAUAAUCUUUUGGCUCAGUUCCAGCCAGCUGGAGCCUGCAUGUGGUUGUUCCAGGCUGAUGUACAAAAGGGGUACAGCAUUUAUUCUGCCAGGGCAUUACAUACAACAUUUUAUUUCAUUUAUAUGUCUGUGGCAAUGAUCCUAUUACCUUCUUUCUAAUACACGUGACUGCACAUAGCAGAUCAUGUCUAGAAAAUACUGUCAGAAGUUAACCUGUUAGUGAUGGGAUUUGUUAAUGUUAGUCUCUAGUCACAAAUAUACAGGCUCAUACCACCUUGAGUUCAAUUAUUUAAGUGGGUGUUCAGCACCUAAGUACUGACCAUGGUAGGUCUAGGCCCAGCUAGUUAGGAUUCUAAAAACAGCUGAAGGAUAAUAAUCAAAUAGGACUGCAGUGUCUGCAGCCCACCAAGUUAAAAAAAGUUGUUUAAAAACGAGGUAAACCAAUGUGUUUUCUUGAUUAAAGUCAAACUCAGGUCUUAAGAUAUGCAUUAAACUCAGAUAAGGUAUAUGUGGCCUUAUAGUAUUCUUAAAUGUUAUACAUGUAUAAGAAAUAUUGUGCAUGAAUCAGAAGUAGAGAUGUUGUGGGCAUGUGAUGGCCCAGCAGAGAAUGAAACACUGAUGCCGUAAACAAAGAUUGGUGACUUGAAUCUCUUCUCCCAAACCUAUUUCCCUCCAUCUAUAAAUAAGUUUGGUGCACAGAAUGCAAAUUUAGGUCAUGGCAUUAUUGCUUCCUCUUCAUAGAGGAGGAUGUUCAUUCAAGUUGCUGCUUUCGAGUUCCACCUGAAGCUACAAAGCAUUGCAAUUUUCAGCUCGUGUUCACACGCUGAUGUUUUAAGUAAUUUCUCUCUCCAGUGCCAGUGUUGGGAGCAUGGGGUGAAGAUCAGGGGAGCGUUUGUAUACCUGGCAGGUCUGCUGGCAGGAUGCUUAGGAUGAGGGGGCAGAUUUAAUGAGUUGAGAGGCAGAGUCUUCAACGGCCUGCAAGCCUUUCUGUAUUAGAGCGAACUGCUGAGGGUGCCAACAGUCUCACCGCUGCUGUGCUGAUUGGCAACUGUCAUUUUGUCAGAAGCCAGGGGAUUUGGGAGGCUCCGUGGUCAGUGUGCGCUUCUAUUCAGUCCCCUUCUGCAGGCACAGUCCAUUUAAUUACAGAGGUAUGGACUGGAGUUUUUGGAAGUAAUCAUUACCAGUGAUACUGAUAAAUUAUCUCUUUAUUGGCUUAAGCUAUCCAUUUGUGUCUUGCCUCAGCGAUUAUAUUUUAUGCUUGCAAGUGAUUACUAGAAUGCUCAGUUUUGAACACACUGGUUCUUUUUCUAUGCAGCACAAAAAUAAGCUGUUUUGUGGAAAUGGAAAUGCUUGGUAUUGGUAGGACAUUGUGCGCUUGGAGUAACAGGCAGUUGUAAAAAAGGAUCAGCAUGGAAAACCAGGAUCCUGAGUACUGACCUCAGCCUGAUGUUGACUCGCUGGGUGAUAUUAGGAACCCAAAACUCUCCAUGUCUCCAUGUUAAAAUGAUUGGAAAUUGAACUUAGGGGGAUCUAGCAUGUGAUUACUUUUUUUAGACAGGAUUUUCUUCGUAGCUGAAUUGGACUGAGUCUUUUUUUUCUCCCAAAGCAGAUGAGUGUUGGGGCAAGUUCUCCCUGGUGCCAAGGGGGAGCGAGGGCCUCGUUCAUGUGACCCUUUGGACUUGUACUGAUGCUACGAGGGGGACUUCGGAAGGGAUUCUAGUAAUGGUGAAGAUGUAUUAAAAAUUAAAGGAACGUUGAUGGCAGUUUGUUGGAGUGAGGAAUCAAAAUUGGAAUUCCAGCACAUCUUAGUAAUUCGUCAUUUCAAAAAUGUCAGAGGAACCACAACUGAACAUUUCUUCUGUUCCCACCUGUGCUUUGGGAUGCGAAAGGAUAACUUUAGCACACAGAGACCUUGACUUCCUCUUGGAUGCAUCUGGACGAUUUUAUUAGGCAAUCCGCGGAACAUGUGAUCUGUCUGAGAGUAGCUGAUGAUGAGCAUCACCAAGAUAUGGUACAGGUUGCUGAUCAAUCCUGUCUUUCAGAAGACUUGAAAAAUCAGACUCAUGAAACACCCCUCUCGUAACCCACAGCCUCACCAUGAGGACAUUAGGGCAGCCACGACUGUACAAAGUAUCCUCACCAGCAAUCUUUCACCAUCUGACAAAUCUUUUCUUCUUGAAGGUAACUGUGGGUGGCCUUCCUUUGUCUAAUUUCUGUAAAUUCAGUGCAUCACUUUCUAGUUAUGCAGCUGAUACUCGUGUUUCUAUGAAUGGCUAUUUAAAAAAGGAAAGAUCAGAUGUUUGUUGUUUCGUUUCAACAUAAAUCAAACUUUGUACUCAUAUAGCAAUUCUAGUUUAGCCCCAGGAAUAGCUUUAGUAUUGCUAAGUGUCUGGAGAGUAUUGACUACAGAGACAUGAUUUUAAGCAGGCUAUAAUAGUUUCUACAGCUGUUAACAGUUCGCAGAAGAAAGGCAGUAUUAUUCAUCGGUGUUUAAAAUGUGCAUGACUUGCAUUGCACAGAAGUCAGAUUGGGAGAAUGUCAGAAUUUUUUUUUUUCUGAGACUCUGCCAGGAAAGUCUUCAAUAACUGGGGAAAUUCUUUUCACUGGUGAAAUCAACAUGCAGCACAUUGUGUUAUUAUAAUUGCUUAUAGCUCACCAUGAAAGUUGUCUUUGUAUGCGUGGAUGUACGGCUUGUACUGUUUUGUUUUUAUUUAUUCUGCAUUCUUUAUUAUAAUGUUCCUUCCCUUUUUCCAGACCAGAAAGAUUGUUAUUGAGCCUUCCACAAAGCUGAAAUAAUGCUGUGUGUUAAAAAAAUGUUAACAAUUUGAAGAAGUUAUAAAAAUUUAUAAGUUGACUGAAUACUUUGGAAAUUUCUGCAUAUUUUAAUAUAAAUAGGUAAUGCAAAUGUUUGUUCUUUGCAUUUAGAGGUGGGUCUCUGUUUUCU